AUUGAACGCUGGCGGCAGGCUUAACACAUGCAAGUCGAGCGGAGAGAGGUAGCUUGCUACUGAUCUUAGCGGCGGACGGGUGAGUAAUGCUUAGGAAUCUGCCUAUUAGUGGGGGACAACAUUUCGAAAGGAAUGCUAAUACCGCAUACGUCCUACGGGAGAAAGCAGGGGAUCUUCGGACCUUGCGCUAAUAGAUGAGCCUAAGUCGGAUUAGCUAGUUGGUGGGGUAAAGGCCUACCAAGGCGACGAUCUGUAGCGGGUCUGAGAGGAUGAUCCGCCACACUGGGACUGAGACACGGCCCAGACUCCUACGGGAGGCAGCAGUGGGGAAUAUUGGACAAUGGGCGGAAGCCUGAUCCAGCCAUGCCGCGUGUGUGAAGAAGGCCUUAUGGUCGUAAAGCACUUUAAGCGAGGAGGAGGCUACUUUAGUUAAUACCUAGAGAUAGUGGGCGUUACUCGCAGAAUAAGCACCGGCUAACUCUGUGCCAGCCGCCGCAGUAAAAC
rnacentral:rRNA from 1 species